UGAGAGAAGACCAGACAAAGAAGGGAUGAUGUCGGUGAAACCCGUGAAUGCAACCUUCCUCAAGGGGUUCUGUGGAGCUACUUACACCUGCACACGGGGUAUGCAACAAGGACCAGAAGAAAUCUAUGUUUACAAGUGACCAAGACAAAUAUGAAAAAACAAAGAAUUCACUCUGAGUUCAAAGGAAGAAAGAUCAAGGCCCCUCGUAGCACAAAAAAAAAAAAAAAAUUAUAAAGGAAGAGAAAUGCAGAUGCUGGCCUGUGGAUUUCUUUGGGGACACACCCUGACUUUUCCCUUUCUAUACCAAGGAUCCAGGAAAGCUUCCUUUUAGUGUUGUAGGCUGCUUCCUUUAAGGAAAAUGGUUAUUAAGUGAGAAGGUAGGCAUCUGACAGGCAUUAAUUAGAUUGGAAUUGUAGUACCUCUAAAAUAAUUUACCCAGGCUAAAAAGUUUAGCUAGUUAGUAUUCAUUUAUCGUUUAAGAGAACUCAAUCACAACCCCAUGCUCGUAUUAAUGGAUGCAUUGAGACACCAUGGCGUUAAACCACAGAUUCACAACUUGAAAGACUAUGACUCUGCAUUCCUGCACCCCUUUGUUUUCACAGUUCCCACCCACUGACCAGUUAAGAGACUGUUUGUUUCGCUAGCAUUUAGUCCAGUGAUUUAUUGUCAAAUUCAUUUCUCGUCAAGUACUAUUGAGAUUAAAACUUUUUUCUUUGAAAUUAAAUACAAAAUUACUUCAAACUAUAGUCAUCGCGGGCUGAAAGAACUCCAAAGGACAAAGAGCAAUGUUUGCUUUCUCACUCAGAGCACAAGCCAGCAGGAGAAGCAAGCAUGGGAUCACCUACCUGUCAU